CGGAGGGCUCGGCCGCCAGCGACCGAGCGGGGCCCGGCCCGAGUGGGGCCUGGGGGUGCGACGCCGAGGGCGGGGGAGCGCGCGCCGCUGCUCCGGACCGGGCCGCGCGCGCCGCCUCAGGUCCUCCCCCCCAGAGAGACCCGUUCUUGGUGUCGACUGUCUGGCCAUCACUCUGUGUCCGGUAGAUGUCUUUCUAGUUCAUCAACUCCACGUUCCUGCGUUUUGUCCACCCUCCCCGGAUGUUAACAUCUGACAUAACUGCAGAAGGAUGACCGGAAGAAGUGAUAAUAAUAACUUCAGAUUUGAUUAGGAUCCCAGUGCUUGACCCUCUCAGCCCCAUUUCUGCUCAGGACCCCAGCCGGGACCGCACAGUGAAGGUGUCAGCCUCCUCAGACUCCUCAGAGCCAAGGCUGUUUCUCAGUCUGCUUGUUUGUCAUGACCUUGACACUUGGGUUUUGUAGCAUCCUUCACCUUGGCUUGGUUUCUCACGGUUACACAAAAGUUGUGCGUUUGUUGGAGGCUGCCCUGGGGUGAUGUGCUGAUUGUCUCCUUGCCUGUGGGGUCAGCCUUCACCCCUCGGAUAAGGUGGCCCUGGCCAGGAUUCUCUGAUGCCAAGUUUCAGGGUUUCCCGCUGGGACCUCCAGAC
ensembl:lncRNA